GGGGACGUACAGGUUUCGACAGAGAUGAUGAGCGAUGAUAAGCGAGCCGUGUUUCCUGGUCUGGGGUACACGUAAAAGAACUGGACCAUUAAAUAUAAACGCAAACGAAAAUUUUGCAUUAGCUGCCUAAUCGCAGCGUCACCUUUAGGCCUUGCCUCAGCCGCCUAGAGCCUGACCAACUCCUGCUGGGGUCGAUGAACGAUAUGCUUUUCUAAUGUCGUUUUAUUGUAUGAUAGAAAUAGCUUGUGAGCUUGUGCGUUACAACACGUGAACGCAAGCGAAUUCCUAAUUUGUGACUGCGCUCGGAGAAAGUCAUCGUAAAUUGUUUUUGGACAGGGGUUCGAUUCCCCUCGUCUCCACCA
rnacentral:tmRNA from 1 species